rnacentral:rRNA from 1 species
CAGAACGAACGCUGGCGGCGCGCCUAAUACAUGCAAAGUCGAAACGAGAAAUGUGUAGCAAAUAACAACAAUGUAAAAGUGGCGAACGGGUGAGGAUUACAUGGGUAACCUACCCUCGAGUGGGGAAUAACCAGCCGAAAGGUUGGCUAAUACCGCGUACGCUUCCGGAACUGCGGUUUCGGAAGGAAAGCGAUACCGUGGGUAUCGCGCUCUUGGAUGGGCUCAUGCCCUAUCAGCUUGUUGGUGAGGUAACGGCUCACCAAGGCUUCGACGGGUAGCUGAUCUGAGAGGAUGAUCAGCCACACUGGCACUGCGACACGGGCCAGACUCCUACGGGAGGCAGCAGUAAGGAAUAUUGCGCAAUGGGCGAAAGCCUGACGCAGCGACGCCGCGUGGGGGAUGAAGGUCUUCGGAUUGUAAACCCCUUUCGGGAGGGGAAGAUGGGAUGGGGUAACCCAUUCGGACGGUACCUCCAGAAGCCAGGCCACGGGCUAACUUCGUGCCCAGCAGCCGCGGUAA